UUGAGGCGGGGUGUAAAGAGGGCUGGGGAAAGGCGAGUGACACACUCCCGGGCCCCGGUGAAUCAGGAAGGUGUCGCCCAAUUAAUUGAUCCACGGUGGAUAAGAAACGGAGAGGUGUGACGGCAGAGAGAUUUGCCACAGUACGUUUACUGACCAACCUACACACACAUACAUACAGACGGCAGAGAAAUUGGCCACGCUACUUGUCGCCACCGUAUCACAGUUGACAGAAGACCUGCACUUCGCUGUGACGGGACAAUUGGAAAUUGAUGGGCGAGAGGAAGGGGACGACGUGAUAUUUCGCGCCAGCUGUCCUACCAUAAAACAAACAAACAAUCAAAAAAAAAAUCCAGAUCUACAUGGAUACAGAUUUCCAGGAGGUGAAUCGAUCUGUUCAAUCGGCUUUCCCAAGAGAGAGCGGAGGGGAACUACAGCGAGCAAGCAAACACACCAGAGAUGGACUGAGAUAGAAUGCAGCGAGAGACUGAGGCUUCUUUAACGUAAAGGUGGAUUAUAGGUAACUCUCAGGCGAGGAGGGACUGAAGAUGCAUCAUGCUGCUUCUUUCUUCUGUCUGGUAGAAAAUUCUAUGGGGAGUGGCUAAUGAACAUAAGAAUCCUACAGAAAUCUGAACAAAAGGAUGGUUAAAGGGACACUGAUACUUAUCAUAUGUGUGAUAACCCUUUGGGGAAAAUUGAUAUCAGCUGCAAACCCUCAUAAAGCUCACCAUGUUAAGAGCGGCACCUGUGAGGUAGUAGCUCUACACCGAUGCUGCAAUAAAAACAAAAUCGAGGAGCGGUCGCAGACAGUGAAGUGCUCCUGUUUACCGGGACAAGUGGCAGGAACAACACGCGCCGCUCCUUCUUGUGUGGAUGCCUCAAUAGUUUUACAGAAAUGGUGGUGCCAAAUGCAGCCAUGCCUUGAUGGAGAGGAAUGCAAAGUACUGCCAGAUCGUACUGGUUGGAGUUGUGCCUCUGGAAAUAAAGUAAAGACAACCAAGCUGCUGGUUGGAGAUUGGUAGGGGUUCCAGCCAGGUAAUGCCCCAUUUACACCACCUCGCUGGAACUCCGAUUCUCCUGCCCAGGAAAGACCUCCGCAGGUGGCAGUUCGGACAACUAUCUGAACUAAGUGAACUCCAGGUGACACGAUAGUUGACGAGGAAGGCCAGCUGCUUUUUGAAGAUACCUUAUCUCAAUUGUUGAGUCCUGUUCUUCUUUCAUCACCCUGUUGCAGGUUCCCAGGGAGGUUGACCUGGGAAUCACCCCCAUGAGCAAAGACUGUGUGGUAUGCAGAGCUCUCAAACUUUGGAGAGAGAAAACCAAUCCAUUAAGAAAUCUCCUGGGAUGUGGAAUCUGACGGACAGAUUUUCCCCAGUCUUCUGUUUCUUGAUGGGACACACAACGGAGGAGGACUCACUACUCCAGAUCUGUUGAGCUUUGCUGCCAUGUUCCGAAAUGUCGCUCACAACAAGCGGGCCUCUCUCACUCGGUUUUAAUAGUGUGGCCGCCUCAGACUUUGACACAUCUGAACAGAAGGCUCGUAUUUUGAUGUAGGAGCAAGCAAGUGGACAAACGGGGCAACAUGGUGAUGUCCUAAGUUUCCCUGCUAUCUGACUGUACGCCCCCACACUUCCCACGACUUUGUUGCAGCCUCCAGCUUCAAGUUGGGACAAUCUGCCAGACUUUUAAAUACUUCGAAUCGCAGGGAAGCUUUAGGUUUCAACGGUUCGGAUUUUUCUUUUGUUAUAGAGGCAAUUACAUUAUGGUAAAUGUGUAUAAACUGCAGUCUGCUAUUGAGAGUAAAUGCUUUUCCAUAUACAUGAAUUGUACAAAACAGAUAGUCCAACAACUUCUAAUGCAACUGCACUACAGCUGUUCUCUGGCAAAUGAACAAAUACAGUUCCAAUGAUUUUAAUAACAUCAGUGUACUGAAACAUGUGCUCUGUCACUAAAGUACAUCUUUUAAUUUGGUUUAAGUUGUUAAAUGGAGGUACCAUUCUGAAACUGUUAAAAUAAUUUUUACAUUAUCCACAUAAUAUUGCCAACCCAAAUCAUGCUUGUUGUAUCAUCAGUUCUGCUUGUAUACAGUUAGUUAGCAAUUAUGUUUAUCAUUGCACCCUCAUCUUUAUUUGGAAUAUUCUGCGUUAUGAUUUGAUGUGACAAAAUCCUUAAAAGAUCUUAUUUAAUGGUGAAGAUUACAGUGUACGUUGCAAAAUGAAGAGAUUGACCACCCAGAUGAUGAAGAUGUGGAGCAGGUGUUAAACUCAGUGAUGCUGUAACAUGUAGCACAGUUUCUGAAACUUUUUUUACAUUUGGUUUUGUUUUUGGAAUUGUGUAAAUCUUUGCUUUCAGUGUAAGCAGUAAAUAAAAUACAAGUAGCAAAGA